CUCGCAAGAGUGAACUAGCUAACUGAAAUCAUUAAUUGAAUAACUUCAAUAUGAUGUGGUAAGGGAAAAUAAUGAUACUACCUUACUUAUAGUGUUGUCUAAAGCUGGUGCCAGAAGACUCGGUAAAGCCAGAAACGCAAACGUUAAUCAUCAUAAACAGGCGUAAAGGGUUAGUAGGCUGCUUUUUAGUUAAUAAUUUAAUCUUAACCCCUUAAGUUUAAAAAUAAAAUAAUAAAAUUUUUUUAUUAGUUUAUUUAUAUUAAUCUUUAGAGCUAGAAUCAAAAAGAAGUUAAAAAGUAUAAUACUUAGAGUAGGGAUAAUAUCUGGAGAUACUAGGCGGAAUACUAAAGGUGUAAACAACUAACUAUAAAUGAUUGACGCUGAGAGACGAAGGUGAGGACAGGAAAUAGGAUUAGAUACCCCGGUACCCCUCUCUGUAAACGAUGAAUGGUAAUCAUUAGUAUAUUACUGGUGGUAAAGUUAACACGUUAACCAUUCCGCCUUGGGAGUACGACUGCAAAGUUGAAAACAAAAAAAUUAGUCGGUCUCGAAGCAAACGGAGUGAAGCAU
rnacentral:rRNA from 1 species